UGAUGCUAAACUCCACCGAGGACAUCUCAGACCAAUGCCACCAAAGCCUGUGAACUGACUGAGGGAGUUGCAACAUGGGCCCACCAUAGAACGCGAACGCAAAUAGAUGUGGACAGCGUAUUCACUAGUCUCCUCUUCAAUAGCAUCUACCAUCAUCAGAAGAUUUUGCUCCCUCUACUUGGAUAUCUCAGAAAUGAAUUGCCCAGGCUGUACCCACCAAGCAGCUGAAUGUCAGUAAGCCAGCCAACAGAAGAUCCUGCUCAUGAGAAAGUAAUUCAUAAACCAGAGCCUCUUGCAGAAAGCAAAGUUGAAAAUCAGAAGUUUACACAGAGAAAGAAAGAAAUCUG